rnacentral:rRNA from 1 species
AUUGAACGCUGGCGGCAGGCUUAACACAUGCAAGUCGAGCGGGGUGAUGGUGCUUGCACUAUCACUUAGCGGCGGACGGGUGAGUAAUGCUUAGGAAUCUGCCUAUUAGUGGGGGACAACAUCUCGAAAGGGAUGCUAAUACCGCAUAAGUUCUACGGGAGAAAGCAGAGGAUCACUUGUGACCUUGCGCUAAUAGAUGAGCUUAAGUCGGAUUAGCUAGUUGGGGGGGUAAAGGCCGACCAAGGAGACGAUCUGUGGCGGGUCGGAGAGGAUGAUCCGCCACACUGGGACUGAGACACGGCCCAGACUCCUACGGGAGGCAGCAGUGGGGAAUAUUGGACAAUGGGGGGAACCCUGAUCCAGCCAUGCCGCGUGUGUGAAGAAGGCCUUAUGGUUGUAAAGCACUUUAAGCGAGGAGGAGGCUCUUUUGGUUAAUACCCAAGAUGAGUGGACGUUACUCGCAGAAUAAGCACCGGCUAACUCUGUGCCAGCCGCCGCCGUAA